CAGGGAAUAUUGCACAAUGGGCGAAAGCCUGAUGCAGCGACACCGCGUGCGGGAUGAAUGCUUUAGGGUUGUAAACCGCUUUCAGGAGGGAAGAAAAUGACGGUACCUCCAGAAGAAGCUCCGGCCAACUACGUG
rnacentral:rRNA from 1 species